GACGUAGGGGGCCAGCGUUGUUCGGAAUUACUGGGUGUAAAGGGUUCGUAGGCGGUGUGGCAAGUCGGGAGUGAAAUUUCUGGGCUCAACUCAGAGACUGCUUCCGAAACUGCUGUGCUUGAGUGUAGGAGAGGCGCGUGGAAUUGCAGGUGUAGCGGUGAAAUGCGUAGAUAUCUGCAGGAACACCCGUGGCGAAAGCGGCGCGCUGGACCACUACUGACGCUGAGGAACGAAAGCUAGGGGAGCAAACAGG
rnacentral:rRNA from 1 species